AGGGACUUCAGCCUGGUGGCCUGGUGAACUCAGGGACUCCCAGCCCCUUCCAGCCCCCCUCCUUCAGGCUGCCUCUCCCUGCAAAGGCCUAGGCAAAACGGGGCGGCGUUGGUGGGGAGGGGGCUGUGGGCGAGGCCUGCUUCCUGAUCCACAGCUGUGUCUGCGCCUGAGUGGGGAGGGUCUGAGUUCACGCUCUGAACCGGAGGUGACAAUCUCCCCUCAGUUUCACAGAGAAUUUGAAGGCAUGCAGCAGAGAGCUGGGCCUGGUGAUCUCGGCUGCCCCGUGGCUGCCGCCUCUGCCUCCGGGUGGGCAGGGAGGGUGGGCAGGCUGCUCAAGAGUUGAAAAGAAGGCAGUGGCCGAAGGGGGUAGGAGAGAAAGGGGCAUCUGUUUACAGCCACUAUGCCUGGGGGGCUCUCCCAAAUAGUGGAGGCCCAUGGAGAGGGGCUUUAGGGGCGUCUUUCUUCUAGGAAAACUGAGGUUGGGGUAGAUGGGCCCUGUUGCCUGGUGAAGACUCCAAGGAGGAGCGAGCGUGAAAACCUCCUUGGUCAUAGCUUUGCUCCUUGACGAGAGUGUGGCUCAGUCCCCAGCUGCCUGGGCGGCUGUCUGGGCCGAGAUAGGGUUCGAUAUCCCCGGAGGCCUGGUGUACCCACCCCAGCAGGUCGCCAGGGAGGGGCAGGAGAGGAGGCCUCUUCCUCCUUUGUGUCCGGAGGCGCGGAGCCGGUCCCGCAGCAAAGGCCCGGCUGCACAAUGCCACGGCUGCUCGGCCAGCCCGCGCCCUGCCCCGUCUGCCUGCCUGUCGCCGCCCUUCCUCCGGCUCGCUCUCUGCAUGCCUUCCUUUCCCUGCUCUCCUCUCGCUCUUCCUCCUGCAUCCCCUCUCUUCUGUAAUCCUCCCCUCCCUCUGCCUUGUAUCCUAAUCCUUCGUUUUCUUCUUUCCUGCCCUCCUUCCUUCCUCCCUUCCUCUCUAUGGGCCUGGCGCCGUGCUUCGGUCGUACUCUCUCAGGCUGUCUCGGGCUGUCUCUCUCAGGCUCUGUCCCCUGAUGUCCUCUUGGUCGCAGUCUGGCCCCGGGCCCUCUGAAGGCGACACGUCUCUGCUCUGCGCUGCCAGCAGCCACCCCAGAGCCAGGCAGGGUCCCCCAGCCUGCACCUGGGGGACGUGCUGAUGGUGGCACUGGGGAUUUGGAGAAAGCCACGGCAGGGGGACGGGAACCUCCUGUCUUUUCCUUGAACUAGUGAGGGAAAAUUUUUGAUUGACAGCUAACCCAACUCCAUCAAGGCCAAAGAGAUAUUCUGUUUCUUGCUGUAAUUUGGAUUUCCCAGACCCGUCCAGUCCUGGGGAGGGGAAGGCAAUCACGGCCUGGGGUGAAGAGGUUGAGGCCCCUGGCUGCCUCUCCCCAGCCGGGCACUUCUCACGUCCCCCCCCACCCCCAUGCGUCAAAAUCCCAGCCCCGCUAGACCGAAAAGGAAGGAACCAGAGAAGGGGAGGAGCAGGCACUGGGGAGGGGGCCUGGCAGGCUGGGGUCAGUGCUGCAGGCUGCAGAUCUACCCUUCCCCCUCAACUCCCCCCCCCCCCAACACAUAUCCUACAAUCUCUGGGACACCUCUCUCUAGCCCUUCUUCUCCCCAGAGGAGACAAGUUGACAGAGAUGCAGGAAAAAAAAAAGCAGCCUCCACCCCCACCCCUGGCGUUUGGUCCCCUCCUGGGGACAGGAGUGGGAAAGAAGGGCAGGCAGGCAUCUCGGGUCUGGGAAGACUUGCCCUUCCCUGCUGCCUCAGAGCCUGUGUCUAAGCCUCAGCGCCUGCCUCUUUCCCCUAGCGCAAAUUAGACUCUUCCCUGCUGACCCUGAAAUUGCACCCCUCCUUCAAACUCCCUCCACCAUGCCCAGGGCGCAUCUGUCUCUGGGGACAUCACCUGCCCUUCUCCCCCGCCCCCAGCCAACUUCCCUGACCCCUCUCUUGCACCUACACUGAGAAUGUCCUGCUUGCCCAAAGCCCACCUUUGCUAAACCACCACGGGACAGUCUGCUAGAAAGCAGAGGGCUGGGCAGCGAACCCCAAAUUCAAGGAGGAGGGUAGCAACCAACUUAUUGGGGGGAGGAAUCCAAGUUGUGUGAUCGUCCCCACAAUCACACUGCCCCCUCCAGAAUUCCUGCAUCUGACUCCAAAGAAAUUGCUCUCUCCCAUUCCUCUGUAGCUUUUUUCCCGUUCCAAAAACAGCCUACAAUUUUAUUUAAUGAAAGACACAUUUAUGAACAAUCAAAUGAUCCUCAUAAAAUUUUUAUUGAAGGACGUAAAAACAAGCUACUUGCCCACGACCGAGGUCGCUCUUUCGCCUUGCCCGCUCUCACCCUGGCUCUCUGCAGACAGAGCCCGCGAGCGACUUCUUUUUUCAAGUGGGGGGGCAGGAGGUCUCAGAGAUGGAGUUGGGGGCAGAGGAGGGUGAACAGGAAGACAGGAUGGGUACGCCCCACUGAAGUUGUGUAGAUCUCUCCUCCACUUCUUCAGGCUGGCAAAGAAAGAUAAAUAGAUAUAGACAAUAAAUUUAAAAUACAGGCGUUUGCAUGUCUGUGCCAAAGCAAAGAGAGGACUUCUGGUGACAAAGGUGGAUGAGGUCCCAAGGUCCUACCCCUCCCACCCGUGGACCACCUUCCCCAAGCUUCCCCUGCCCCAGAUUUGGGGGGCUGAGUUGGCCAGUGGCAGAAGGACGCUCCCCUUCCCUCCUUCCCUCCCUCCACCCCAGCUUCCCCAGUCCCCUCCCACUCUCCCUCCCUCGCUGCUGCUGCAGCUCCUGAAAGAAAUACAUACAUACACACUAUUUAAAAACGCAUUUUUAAAAGCCACGUUCCGAACUGACAAUCGCUGAUCUCGGCUCGCGCAGAGACUGCGGGAGCGUCGGGGCCGACAGAGACGGAUUACGUCAAGAAAUAGUUCCUCCACCUACCUCGCCGGGUCUCUCCGCCCCUGCGGGGCUCCCGCGCCCAGCUCGGCCCCGGGGGUCCCGGAACCCUGGCUUCGGGGACUGGCAUUUUCACCCCAUUAAGAAAUCCUCCCGGGGGUGGGGGCGGAGGCCAUCUGCCUAUGGGUGGACCUGGGCCAGGGGCUGCUCUGCUGAGAUGCGAGUUGUCCUGAGGGGGUGGCCGGGUCCUUGGGUCCAGAGUUGCGGACCCCCAGGAAAACGCAGGUCGCGGGGAUCAGCAGAGAGAAGGGGGUGGGAGAAGG
rnacentral:lncRNA from 1 species